rnacentral:rRNA from 1 species
AACGAACGCUGGCGGCAUGCCUAACACAUGCAAGUCGAACGAGACCUUCGGGUCUAGUUGCUCACGGGUGCGUAACGCGUGGGAACCUUCCCUUAGGUUCGGAAUAACUCCCCGAAAGGGGUGCUAAUACCGGAUAAUGUCUUCGGACCAAAGAUUUAUCGCCUUUGGAUGGGCCCGCGUUGGAUUAGCUAGUUGGUAGGGUAAAAGCCUACCAAGGCGACGAUCCAUAGCUGGUCUGAGAGGAUGCUCAGCCACACUGGGACUGAGACACGGCCCAGAAUCCUACGGGAGGCAGCAGUGGGGAAUAUUGGACAAUGGGCGAAAGCCUGAUCCAGCAAUGCCGCGUGAGUGAUGAAGGCCUUAGGGUUGUAAAGCUCUUUUAACCGGGAUGAUAAUGACAGUACCGGGAGAAUAAGCUCCGGCUAACUCCGUG